rnacentral:lncRNA from 1 species
UUUUGGUUUCCUAGUCAUAUUCAAAGUUUUGCAUUAACUGCUGGAAUUCUCAUUUGCCUUGCUACUUUGGAUUCUCUCCCUUUAUAUAUUUGUUUGACGUGAAGUUGUAGAUUAGCAGUCAAAUGAUUUCCAUCACAUUAGCUUUUUUACGCCGCCAGAGCAGGAAAGAUCAUGUAUAUGUCAGCAAAUCAGAAUGCAGAUGAUGAUCUCACACGUAAAUGCUAUACAAUCAGCCCCAGG